UCAUAUGCUUGUCUCAAAGAUUAAGCCAUGCAUGUCUAAGUAUAAACACUUUAUACUGUGAAACUGCGAAUGGCUCAUUAAAUCAGUUAUAGUUUAUUUGAUAGUCCCUACUACAUGGAUAACCGUGGUAAUUCUAGAGCU
rnacentral:rRNA from 1 species